rnacentral:rRNA from 1 species
GAUGAACGCUGGCGGCGUGCCUAAUACAUGCAAGUCGAGCGAAUGGAUUAAGAGCUUGCUCUUAUGAAGUUAGCGGCGGACGGGUGAGUAACACGUGGGUAACCUGCCCAUAAGACUGGGAUAACUCCGGGAAACCGGGGCUAAUACCGGAUAACAUUUUGAACCGCAUGUUUCGAAAUUGAAAGGCGGCUUCGGCUGUCACUUAUGGAUGGACCCGCGUCGCAUUAGCUAGUUGGUGAGGUAACGGCUCACCAAGGCAACGAUGCGUAGCCGACCUGAGAGGGUGAUCGGCCACACUGGGACUGAGACAUGGCCCAGACUCCUACGGGAGGCAGCAGUAGGGAAUCUUCCGCAAUGGACGAAAGUCUGACGGAGCAACGCCGCGUGAGUGAUGAAGGCUUUCGGGUCGUAAAACUCUGUUGUUAGGGAAGAACAAGUGCUAGUUGAAUAAGCUGGCACCUUGACGGUACCUAACCAGAAAGCCACGGCUAACUACGUGCCAGCAGCCGCCGUAA